rnacentral:rRNA from 1 species
UACGGAGGGUGCGAGCGUUGUCCGGAAUCACUGGGCGUAAAGGGCGCGUAGGCGGUCCGCUAAGUGUGUGGUGAAAGCCCGGGGCUCAACCCCGGGUCUGCCGUGCAAACUGUCGGACUUGAGGACUGUAGAGGCAGGUGGAAUUCCGGGUGUAGCGGUGGAAUGCGUAGAGAUCCGGAAGAAGACCGGUGGCGAAGGCGACCUGCUGGGCAGUCACUGACGCUGAGGCGCGACAGCGUGGGGAGCAAACAGG